AUACGGAGGACGCGAGCGUUAUCCGGAUUCAUUGGGUUUAAAGGGUGCGCAGGCGGCCGUGCAAGUCAGCGGUGAAAGCCCGGGGCUCAACCCCGGAAGUGCCGUUGAUACUGCAUGGCUGGAAUGCGGUCGAGGCGGGCGGGACGUGGCGUGUAGCGGGGAAAUACGUGGAUAUGCCACAGAACGCCGAUAGCGGAGGCAGCGCGCCAGGCCUGCAUUGACGCUCGGGCACGAAAGCGUGGGGAUCGAACAGGAUUAGAUACCCUGGUAGUCCACGCCGUAAACGAUGGGCGCUCGUCGUCGGCGGCAGACAGUCGGCGGCCAAGCGAAAGCGAUAAGCGCCCCACCUGGGGAGUACGGUCGCAAGGCUGAAACUCAAAUGAAUUGACGGGG
rnacentral:rRNA from 1 species